rnacentral:lncRNA from 1 species
UAAUCUCCUAAAAAAUUACCACUUUCUUUUUCCAUUCCAGAUUUUCCACCACUGCACGCACACUAUAUGUGCUGGAACCUAAAAAAAUGCUGUGCUUAAGACCCAAAACUUGAUAAUUCUUGCUAAGGUCCAUGAGAAUUGCAGAUGCUCAAUAUCUCACAGACAGAGGCCCAGAGAAAGUUGAAGGAUAUCAAGAGAUCAAUAAAUCUUCCAGAUGAUCAGGAGAGCGGGAAGAAACAAAUCAUAAACUCUGUUAUAGCAGACAUUAAUUUUCCUGCUUACAGUACAGCAAUGAAGCAUCACAAAGCUCAGGCCCUGACAGGCUGUCUUAUUACAAUCUGCCUGAGGGAUUUAUGUCCUCUGUUGAGCAUCCUGGCUAUUAACCUCUCUGCAGACCCCUUCCAUUCAUGGAGACCCUGUUGGGACAGGUGAAGAUAGCCUCCCGAACUUUCACUGGAUUUUGAGACAUCUAGUGAUUUCAGAUAAGGGUCUCCACUGGUUUCCAAACAUUGGGUUGUAAACAUACAGUCAAUGAAAUUGAAAAUACCUAAUCAACAACGAGCACCACAGAAGGUAAGUGUUAAUUUAUUUUUACCAACCAAAUUCAAGAACACAC